rnacentral:rRNA from 1 species
GGGAUAAGCCUGGGAAACUGGUUCUAAUACCGGAUAGGAGCGCCUACCGCAUGGUGGGUGUUGGAAAGAUUUAUCGGUUUUUGGAUGGACUCGCGGCCUAUCAGCUUGUUGGUGAGGUAAUGGCUCACCAAGGCGACGACGGGUAGCCGGCCUGAGAGGGUGACCGGCCACACUGGGACUGAGACACGGCCCAGACUCCUACGGGAGGCAGCAGUGGGGAAUAUUGCACAAUGGGCGCAAGCCUGAUGCAGCGACGCCGCGUGAGGGAUGACGGCCUUCGGGUUGUAAACCUCUUUCAGUAGGGAAGAAGCGAAAGUGACGGUACCUGCAGAAGAAGCACCGGCUAACUACGUGCCAGCAGCCGCGGUAAUACGUAGGGUGCGAGCGUUAUCCGGAAUUAUUGGGCGUAAAGAGCUCGUAGGCGGUUUGUCGCGUCUGUCGUGAAAGUCCGGGGCUUAACCCCGGACCUGCGGUGGGUACGGGCAGACUAGAGUGCAGUAGGGGAGACUGGAAUUCCUGGUGUAGCGGUGGAAUGCGCAGAUAUCAGGAGGAACACCGAUGGCGAAGGCAGGUCUCUGGGCUGUAACUGACGCUGAGGAGCGAAAGCAUGGGGAGCGAACAGGAUUAGAUACCCUGGUAGUCCAUGCCGUAAACGUUGGGCACUAGGUGUGGGGACCAUUCCACGGUUUCCGCGCCGCAGCUAACGCAUUAA